UCCCUAGAAGACUAGUGGUUAGGCCACAUCUCUCUCACUGCUGAGGCCUGGGUUCAAUUCCCGGCCAGGGAA